CGCGGAGUGAAGCAGUUGGUAGCUUAGGUGGGCGCUUGCCACAAUGUCGGGGGUUCGAAUCCCUCCUCCGCUA
rnacentral:tRNA from 1 species